rfam:Ipomoea nil DNA, scaffold: scaffold2283, cultivar: Tokyo-kokei standard.
GUGGGCGUGCCGGUGUGGUUAUUGGGCAUGACUAGAAACCAUGUGGGCUUUGCCCGCACAGGUUCGAAUCCUGCCGCUCACU